CCGUCCAGGGGAGGCGCACUACCGGCCCGCUUCGGCGGAGCGAGAGCGUACACGUUGGGACCCGAAAGAUGGUGAACUAUGCCUGAGUAGGACGAAGCCAGAGGAAACUCUGGUGGAAGUCCGUAGCGAUUCUGACGUGCAAAUCGAUCGUCGAACUUGGGUAUAGGGGCGAAAGACUA
rnacentral:rRNA from 1 species